AGGACGAACGCUGGCGGCGUGCUUAACACAUGCAAGUCGAGCGGUAAGGCCUUUCGGGGUACACGAGCGGCGAACGGGUGAGUAACACGUGGGUGAUCUGCCCUGCACUCUGGGAUAAGCCUGGGAAACUGGGUCUAAUACCGGAUAUGACCUGCUCUCGCAGUGGGGGGUGGGUGGAAAGAUUUUAUCGGUGCAGGAUGGGCCCGCGGCCUAUCAGCUUGGUUGGUGGGUAAUGGCCUACCAAGGCGACGACGGGUAGCCGACCUGAGGAGGGUGACCGGCCACACUGGGACUGAGACACGGCCCAGACUCCUACGGGAGCAGCAGUGGGAAUAUGCACAAUGGGCGAAAGCCUGAUGCAGCGACGCGCGUGAGGAUGAAGGCCGUUACGGGUU
rnacentral:rRNA from 1 species